rnacentral:snRNA from 14 species
UUACUGACCUGGCAGGGGAGAUCCCCUUCUUCUUGGCCUUGAAUGACUUGGUGUGGUUGAGGAUGGAGACCUGUCCCUUGCACUGCGGGCAGGCUGACCCCUGCCAGAGUCUGUCAUGCCUCCAAUGGGAGGAUUUCAGCUACACAAUUUAUGGUGAUGGGGGAUUGCUCUCAGGCUUUCUCUUC